rnacentral:rRNA from 1 species
GACUAUGGACAUACCAUCCUGUACAGGCCUGAUAUCAUCUGUUCUCGUUGAAGCUAAGCAGGGUCGGUUCUGGUUACUUACUUGGAUGGGAGACAGCCUGGGAAUACUGGGCGCUAUAGGCU